rnacentral:rRNA from 1 species
GAUGAACGCUGGCGGCGUGCCUAAUACAUGCAAGUCGAGCGAACAGACGAGGAGCUUGCUCCUCGCACGUUAGCGGCGGACGUGUGAGUAACACGUGUAUAACCUACCUAUCAGACUGGUAUCACUUCGGAAAACCGGCGCUAAUCCCGUAUAAUCUAUUGAACCGCAUGGUUCGAUAGUGAAAUACGGUUUUGCUGUCACUUAUAGAUGGAUCUGCGCCGCAUUAGCUAGUUGGUAAGGUAACGGCUUACCAAGGCAACGAUGCGUAGCCGACCUGAGAGAGGGAUCGGCCACACUGGAACGUAGACACGGACAAGAGUACUACGGGAGGCAGCAGUAGGGAUCGUGACGCAAUGGGCGAGAGCUUGACGGAGCAGCGCCGAGUGAGAGAUGGAGGUGUUGGGAUCGUAAUACUCUGUUAUUAGGGAAGAACAAAUGUGUAAGUAAACAUGGACGUAUUGACGGUACCUAGUCAGAAAGCCACGGCUAACUACGUG